GAUGAAGAACGUAGCGAAAUGCGAUAAGUAAUGCGAAUUGCAGAAUUCAGUGAAUCAUCGAAUCUUUGAACGCACAUUGCGCCCGCCAGUAUUCUGGCGGGCAUGCCUGUCUGAGCGUCGUUUCGACCCUCGCGCCCGGCUUCUGUCGGGGGCGGUGUUGGGGAUCGGCCACACCCUUCAGUGGGAGGCCGGCCCCUAAAUUCAGUGGUGACCACGCUGUAGCCUCCCCUGCGUAGUACUAAAACCACCUCGCAGGCGGAGAGCGGUGCGGCCCGCCGUAAAACCCCCCAACUUUUACAAGGUCGACCUCAGAUCAGGUAGGAAUACCCGCUGAACUUAAGCAUAUCAAUAAGCGGAGGA
rnacentral:misc_RNA from 1 species